AAUAAAAUAAGCUAAAUUAAGCUGUUGGGUUCAUACCUCAAAAAUGAGAUUUCUCUUUUAUUA
rnacentral:tRNA from 1 species